rnacentral:lncRNA from 1 species
UUUGUCAGGCUAAGAGUCUCUCUCUUAUUGGCUUUGAAAAAGCAAGUUGCCACACUGUGAGUUGCUUAUGAAGAAGGCCGUAUCACAAAAACUGAGGACAGACUCUCGUCAACAGCCAGCAACUGAGGCCUUUUGUCCAAGAACAUGCAAGAAACUGAAUGCUGCUAACAACUAUGUUAACUUAGAAGUGAGUCCUUUCCCAAUCAAGCCUUCAGAUGAGACCCCAGCCCAAGUUGACAUCUUGAAUGCUGCCUUGAAGAGUGCCUGGACAGCAGACCCACAGAGACGGUGGAAUAAUAAAUGUCUUAUGUAUCAACAAAAUCACACCAGACCACCCAAAGCUGGCCCUGCCAACUGACCACACACACCCCUGCCUGAAAGGCAUGUUUCAAUGUGCAACAGACGCCUGCCACUCAGGGGACAUCAAAUGUUCAUGAGAACUCGCUAACCUCGAAACAGGUUCUACAAAUUCAAAAAAACCACCCGUGGCCUGGCUCUGGGCUGAAGCUGAGUCCUGGCUUGAAAUCCCCUGCCUUAAUCUCUCUUCGAAGACUUUUCUGCAUUCAUCUGAGUCCUCAUCCUCCAAGGCAGGGCUCAGGCUUGGGCUCAGGCUCCCAGCCAUGUAUCCCUCCUGGACCAUUCCUGACUCCUUUCCAGUAUCCUUAUCACUUGUACCACAUACGUUGGCCUUUGAUCCUGUGUACUGUUGGAUUUGUCUUUACUUCACAGGUUCAUCUUGUCUCCCCAAGAACAAUGAGAGUUGCCUCAAGGGGUAGAACCAUGCUUUUUGUUUUCUUUUGAAUUCAUUACAGCACAGCCAAAAGCUCAACACACAAAACACACUCAGUAAAUAUCUGUUGAACAGAAUAAAAGCCAUUCCGCAUAACCAACCCUGAUCUCUUUUGCUGGACUGUAAACCAACCUACCUAUUGUUAGUCCUUCACAGAUUAUAUGGUGGAUCUGAACACAUCAGGUAGAACCUUUGAUAAACUUAAAGUCCUUCAUUGAAUCACUCUGUAGCCACUGUUUUCUCUAGGACAAAAGCUUUAAAUAUUUUGAGAAAAUUGUACAAGACCAUCCAUCCUGAUUCUCAUGGCUUUGGUUGUUCAGAAAGGAAAUCUUUGUACACACACCAUUUCACUGCCUCCUUUUCAGUUUCCCAAUUUGGAAAAAGGAAAAAUGUGAACUAUCCCCCUCUUCGCGUUCUUUUCUAACUGAAGUGAUAGAUUUCAGAGUCGUAUAAAGCUAAGAUUAUCGUUUAUCAUAUCUCAG